rnacentral:rRNA from 1 species
UGGGUAACCUGCCCUGUACACACGGAUAACAUACCGAAAGGUAUGCUAAUACGAGAUAACAUACUUUUAUCGCAUGGUAGAAGUAUCAAAGCUUUUGCGGUACAGGAUGGACCCGCGUCUGAUUAGCUAGUUGGUAAAGUAACGGCUUACCAAGGCGACGAUCAGUAGCCGACCUGAGAGGGUGAUCGGCCACAUUGGAACUGAGACACGGUCCAAACUCCGUACGGGAGCAG